rnacentral:lncRNA from 1 species
UCAGAGAUGGCAGAGCUGCCCUCUGACUCAGAGCCCGUCCAUCCUCGGAGCUGGGAGUUUUCCAGACGAAGGUCUCACGGCUGGUUUUCUGAAUGACUUCAGGUCAAGUUUACAGACCAAAAUUUCCUGAGUGAUUAUGACAGCUCACAUCAAAGGUGGAAAACCUGUGACAAAACCUGGAGAAAGGAAAGGCUCCACAAUAAGUGGUGAUGAGAGAAACACUUUUCCUGACUUUCAGCUCCAAG